UCACUCGCAGCUUGAGGUGGCAGGCUCGCUCGAGCUCGGCUCAGGACCUCAGGUUCACAUCUCCCUCUGUUUCUCCCUUCUGUCGGACUCUCACUCUCCCUUGCUCUUCCUUCCCUGGCGGCGCCGACGACUGGGCGAACGGCGGCGCCAUUUGUCACAUCUUCGCCAAGCCCUUUGCCGGCGACGAGCAUCCUCCAGGUUGCUGAGGAAUAAAGAUGUCCACUGGCGAAGUCCUGAGGGCAGAGCUAUCUUCCAGGACGCCGCCUUUCGGCCUGAGGCUAUGGAUUGUGAUUGGCAUCUGUAUCUGGGUGGUAAUCUUGUUUAUCCUAGGCCUCAUGUGCUUCUGGGCCGUAUACCGGAGGAAGCCGAGCAUGCUGUUGUUCAAAACUUCCAAGUGCAAGAAAGCCAAGCGCUGGCCGUGCAGGAGAAGCACUAUGAAAAGGAUUCGGGGAAAACGUUGGCGCACUUGGUUAGGAGCAAGUCGAGCGAUGCUGAUAAUCUGAGCCAAUGCAGCUCCGCGUACCAGUGCGAAAGAGCUGGUAGUUCGUAUUCUGGCGACGAGGCUACCUCAGGCAAUGCUAGGAGGCAGUACUCUCAGUAUGCAACUGUCACUGCAUCUCCGCUGGUUGGCCUCCCGGAGUUUUCACAUCUGGGUUGGGGUCAUUGGUUUACUUUGAGGGAUUUGGAGCAUGCGACCAAUCGGUUUUCUAAGGAGAAUGUCAUCGGAGAAGGUGGAUAUGGAGUAGUUUACCGUGGCCGACUCAUAAAUGGAACUGACGUUGCAAUAAAAAAGCUUCUUAAUAACAUAGGUCAAGCAGAAAAGGAAUUCAGGGUUGAAGUUGAGGCAAUUGGACAUGUCAGGCAUAAGAAUCUUGUCCGCCUUCUAGGAUAUUGCGUUGAGGGAAUUCACAGGAUGCUUGUGUAUGAGUGUGUGAAUAAUGGGAACUUAGAACAGUGGCUUCAUGGUGCCAUGCGUCAACAUGGUGUUCUUACUUGGGAAGCCCGGAUGAAAGUUGUUCUUGGAAUUGCUAAGGCGCUUGCUUAUUUACAUGAAGCCAUAGAACCAAAGGUUGUGCACCGUGAUAUCAAAUCAAGUAAUAUCCUAAUUGAUGAAGAAUUCAAUGGCAAGCUUUCUGAUUUUGGACUGGCCAAGCUCCUGGGUGCAGGGAAGAGCCAUAUCACAACUCGAGUUAUGGGAACUUUCGGGUAUGUGGCCCCUGAAUAUGCCAACACAGGUCUGUUAAAUGAGAGGAGCGAUGUCUAUAGUUUCGGGGUGCUACUACUGGAAGCAGUGACUGGGAGGGAUCCAGUUGACUAUGGUCGGCCUGCUAAUGAGGUGCAUCUGGUGGAGUGGCUCAAAAUGAUGGUUGGCAGAAGAAGAGCUGAGGAAGUAGUGGAUCCUGACAUGGAGUUGAAACCAGCCACUCGUGCUCUGAAGCGUGCUCUUCUAGUUGCAUUGCGGUGUGUUGACCCAGAUGCUGAGAAAAGACCCACUAUGGGUCAGGUUGUCCGGAUGCUUGAGGCAGGUGUCCCUUCACGGGAGGACCGUUGGAGCCGGAGGGGCCACAGCAGCAACGCAGACAGUGAGUCCAAGGCAAGCUCAAGCGAGUUCGAGAUAAGCAGUGAUCGAAGAGAGUCAGGACUGUCUGCGAGGUUUCAGUCCUAACUCCUGAUGAGAGCACAGCGAAUUGAGAGUCGGAGGGAACGGGGUGGAUGGAUUUGGGGAUUGGUUGUGGUAGAGUACUAGAGUUAGGGAAGGGCAUUGCAUUUUGUACUGUAGGUAUUCCUUGGUGGUAGCCAGCUUAGAAUGCAGAGCCAGAUCGAUGAUUCAGACUUGUUGCGAAUCGUAAGUGGCAUUCUGUUCUGUUGGUCCAGUAGCAGCUUGUACAGAAUUUCCUUUUCUUUUUCUUUUUGGCUAGGACUUGUCUUGGCUGGUAGAAAAGAAGAUGGUCUAUUUCCUAAUGUGAUGAGUGACUUGAACUACCAUCCUCUUCGUAUCCAUUUCUUACUUUCUUAGUCACUUGGUCCAUGGAUCAAGCUAUAA